UACCGAGGGUGCAAGCGUUAAUCGGAAUUACUGGGCGUAAAGCGUGCGUUGGCGGUCAUCUAAGUCAGGUGUGAAAUCCCCGGGCUCAACCUGGGAACUGCAUUUGUGACUGCACAGCUGGAGUGCGGCAGAGGGGGAUGGAAUUCCGCGUGUAGCAGUGAAAUGCGUAGAUAUGCGGAGGAACACCGAUGGCGAAGGCAAUCCCCUGGGCCUGCACUGACGCUCAUGCACGAAAGCGUGGGGAGCAAACAGG
rnacentral:rRNA from 1 species